rnacentral:tRNA from 1 species
UCCCGUGUGGCUCAGUUGUCUAAUGGCGCUUGCAACGCCAGGGUUGUGGGUUCGAUUCCCACCGGGGGAC